rnacentral:rRNA from 1 species
GAUGAACGCUGGCGGCGUGCCUAACACAUGCAAGUCGAGCGAGAAGUCUAUGAUCGAAACUUCGGUUGAUUGAUUAGAUGGAAAGCGGCGGACGGGUGAGUAACGCGUAGGCAACCUGCCCCUGGCUGAGGGACAGCCUCGGGAAACCGGGAUUAAUACCUCAUAAUACGAAGGGAAGACAUCUUACCUUCGUCAAAGAUUUAUCGGCUGGGGAUGGGCCUGCGUCUGAUUAGUUAGUUGGUGGGGUAACGGCCUACCAAGGCGACGAUCAGUAGCCGGACUGAGAGGUUGAACGGCCACAUUGGGACUGAGACACGGCCCAG